rnacentral:rRNA from 1 species
GAUGAACGCUAGCGGCAGGCUUAAUACAUGCAAGUCGAACGGUAACAGGUGUAGCAAUACAUGCUGACGAGUGGCAGACGGGUGAGGAACACGUACGCAACCUCCCUCAAACCGGGGCACAACUCCGCGAAAGCGGAGCUAAUUCCCCAUAAAAUUGUGAAAGGGCAUCCGAUUACAAUUAAAGAUUCAUCAGUUUGAGAUGGGCGUGCGUCUGAUUAGGUAGUUGGGUAGGUAAUGGCUCACCAAGCCAACGAUCAGUAGCUGGUGUGAGAGCACGACCAGCCACACGGGCACUGAGAUACGGGCCCGACU